GAACUCAGGACCUUCGGAAGAGCAGUCGGUGCUCUUAACCGUGUACUGGCUUCAGGUUUCCAGCCUCAGACAUAACUCAGAUUGCAAGUUCUGCCACUCACCAUGGGCUCUAACAACAGACCUCAGUGUUACAACCAGCUUCAACCUAACAGGAUACCCGCAGGCCAAGGAAAUGCCACGCUGGUGUCUGUCACUGAUGUCGGCUGCCAGAGAAUGUCACACCAUGCAUUCAGUCACAGCUCAGCCUAUGCCUGAGGACCACAAAGGCACUUGGUGUCCCCAUAGGACAAGGACUGAACAAGAGUGGGCUGGCUUCUCUUGCCUUCAGUGUCCACAGCACACCCAACAGAGCCUGGAGAGGUUGAUGUAGCCAAGGCUCUUUGACAGUCCUCAGCUCCCACCAGUGGCCUCAAACUCAUGAUCCUCCUGCCACAACCUCCCAGGUGCUAUAAUUACACACAUGUGCCUCUGGGCCCGGCUUGCACAUUAAUGUCCAAGCAAAGUAUGCUUCCGUCAUUCUCCUGGGAGAUUUUGCAAUAAUAAAAUGAACUAUGACACAGCAUAACGCCAGCAGUGCUUUGCUGAAAGAAAGACUGAAUGUUCGGGUUGAGGCAGAGUGAGAGACAGAGACCAGGUGAGGGAGAGGUGCAGGCAUUGGAAGUGCAUUGGAAAAUUCAGACAUGAGAAGCCCUGUACGGAGUACAGGAUGCUUCAUGGUUUCCAGGUUCCACCUCCUGGAGUGAGCUUCAAGUUUGCAAGGGUCAAAUAACGUAACCACACACAGCUCAGUUCUUGCCUAAGGCCCCACCCCUGAGCUGGCUGCAGAGGUAGAGCAGGUAACAUGCUAAAGCCAAAGUAUUAAAAGCCCCGGUCACACAGAAGAACGUUGUACUGGCUGGUUUUGUGUGUCAACUUGACACCAGCUGGAGUUUUCACAGAGAAGGGAGCCUCCCUUGAGGAAAUGCCUCCAUGAGAUUCAGCUGUAAGGUUUUGUCUCAAUUAGUGAUCAAGGGGAGGGCCCAGCCCACUGUGGGUGGUGCCAUCCCUGGGCUGGUAGUCCUGGGUUCUAUAAGAAAGCAGGCUGAGAAAGCCAGGGGAAGCAAGCCAGCAAGUAACAUCCCUCCAUGGCCUCUGCAUCAGCUCCCGUUUCCUGACCUGCUUGAAUUCCAGUCCUGCAUCCUUUGGUGAUGAAUAGCAGUGUGGAAAGUGUAAGCUGAAUAAACUCUUUCCUCCUCAA